GGAGUUAGCCGGUGCUUCUUCUGUGAGUGAUGUCCUUCCUGCCGGCUAUUAACCCGCAGGCCUUCUUCCUCACUGAAAGUGCUUUACAACCCGAAGGCCUUCUUCACACACGCGGCAUGGCUGGAUCAGGGUUGCCCCCAUUGUCCAAUAUUCCCCACUGCUGCCUCCCGUAGGAGUCUGGGCCGUGUCUCAGUCCCAGUGUGGCUGAUCAUCCUCUCAGACCAGCUACGGAUCGUCGCCUUGGUGAGCCGUUACCUCACCAACCAGCUAAUCCGACAUAGGCUCAUCCGAUAGCGCGAGGCCCGAAGGUCCCCCGCUUUCCCCCGUAGGGCGUAUGCGGUAUUAGCCUGGGUUUCCCCCAGGUUAUCCCCCACUACCGGGCAGAUUCCUAUGCAUUACUCACCCGUCCGCCGCUCGCCACCAGGGAGCAAGCUCCCCGUGCUGCCGCUCGACUUGCAUGUGUUAGGCCUGCCGCCAGCGUUCAAUCUGAGCAGANACGACCACGA
rnacentral:rRNA from 1 species